GACGAAGGAUGCAAGCGUUAUCCGGAUUCAUUGGGUUUAAAGGGUGCGUAGGUGGCCUUAUAAGUCAGUGGUGAAAUCUCUGGGCUUAACCCAGAAAUUGCCAUUGAUACUGUAGGGCUUGAGUAUAGAUGCCGUUGGCGGAAUAUGACAUGUAGUGGUGAAAUACAUAGAGAUGUCAUAGAACACCGAUUGCGAAGGCAGCUAACGAAACUAUAACUGACACUGAGGCUCGAAAGUGUGGGGAGCAAACAGG
rnacentral:rRNA from 1 species